GACGAACGCUGGCGGCGUGCUUAACACAUGCAAGUCGAACGGAAAGGCCCUGCUUUUGUGGGGUGCUCGAGUGGCGAACGGGUGAGUAACACGUGAGUAACCUGCCCUUGACUUUGGGAUAACUUCAGGAAACUGGGGCUAAUACCGGAUAGGAGCUCCUGCUGCAUGGUGGGGGUUGGAAAGUUUCGGCGGUUGGGGAUGGACUCGCGGCUUAUCAGCUUGUUGGUGGGGUAGUGGCUUACCAAGGCUUUGACGGGUAGCCGGCCUGAGAGGGUGACCGGCCACAUUGGGACUGAGAUACGGCCCAGACUCCUACGGGAGGCAGCAGUGGGGAAUAUUGCACAAUGGGCGGAAGCCUGAUGCAGCAACGCCGCGUGCGGGAUGACGGCCUUCGGGUUGUAAACCGCUUUCGCCUGUGACGAAGCGUGAGUGACGGUAAUGGGUAAAGAAGCACCGGCUAACUACGUGCCAGCAGCCGCGGUGAUACGUAGGGUGCGAGCGUUGUCCGGAUUUAUUGGGCGUAAAGGGCUCGUAGGUGGUUGAUCGCGUCGGAAGUGUAAUCUUGGGGCUUAACCCUGAGCGUGCUUUCGAUACGGGUUGACUUGAGGAAGGUAGGGGAGAAUGGAAUUCCUGGUGGAGCGGUGGAAUGCGCAGAUAUCAGGAGGAACACCAGUGGCGAAGGCGGUUCUCUGGGCCUUUCCUGACGCUGAGGAGCGAAAGCGUGGGGAGCGAACAGGCUUAGAUACCCUGGUAGUCCACGCUGUAAACGGUGGGUACUAGGUGUGGGGUCCAUUCCACGGGUUCCGUGCCGUAGCUAACGCUUUAAGUACCCCGCCUGGGGAGUACGGCCGCAAGGCUAAAACUCAAAGGAAUUGACGGGGCCCCGCACGAGCGGCGGAGCAUGCGGAUUAAUUCGAUGCAACGCGUAGAACCUUACCUGGGUUUGACAUGGAUCGGGAGUGCUCAGAGAUGGGUGUGCCUCUUUUGGGGUCGGUUCACAGGUGGUGCAUGGCUGUCGUCAGCUCGUGUCGUGAGAUGUUGGGUUAAGUCCCGCAACGAGCGCAACCCUUGUUCACUGUUGCCAGCACGUUAUGGUGGGGACUCAGUGGAGACCGCCGGGGUCAACUCGGAGGAAGGUGGGGAUGACGUCAAGUCAUCAUGCCCCUUAUGUCCAGGGCUUCACGCAUGCUACAAUGGCUGGUACAGAGAGUGGCGAGCCUGUGAGGGUGAGCGAAUCUCGGAAAGCCGGUCUCAGUUCGGAUUGGGGUCUGCAACUCGACCUCAUGAAGUCGGAGUCGCUAGUAAUCGCAGAUCAGCAACGCUGCGGUGAAUACGUUCCCGGG
rnacentral:rRNA from 1 species